rnacentral:tRNA from 1 species
GCCACUAUAGCUCAAUCUGGUAGAGCAUCUGCCUUGUAAGCAGAAGGUUGUGGGUUCGAUAGCACAUGAAGCGCGAAGCACUUCUAUGCAGGAUAUCCCUCUAGUGGCU